rnacentral:rRNA from 2 species
CCCAGACAGCCAGGAUGUUGGCUUAGAAGCAGCCAUCAUUUAAAGAAAGCGUAAUAGCUCACUGGUCGAGUCGGCCUGCGCGGAAGAUGUAACGGGGCUAAACCAUGCACCGAAGCUGCGGCAGCGACACUCAGGUGUUGUUGGGUAGGGGAGCGUUCUGUAAGCCUGUGAAGGUGUGCUGUGAGGCAUGCUGGAGGUAUCAGAAGUGCGAAUGCUGACAUAAGUAACGAUAAAGCGGGUGAAAAGCCCGCUCGCCGGAAGACCAAGGGUUCCUGUCCAACGUUAAUCGGGGCAGGGUGAGUCGACCCCUAAGGC